rnacentral:rRNA from 1 species
UGGGGAAUAUUGCACAAUGGGCGCAAGCCUGAUGCAGCAACGCCGCGUGAGGGAUGACGGCCUCGGGUUGUAAACCUCUUUUAGCAGGGAAGAAGCGAAAGUGACGGUACCUGCAGAAAAAGCACCGGCUAACUACGUGCCAGCAGCCGCGGUAAUACGUAGGGUGCAAGCGUUGUCCGGAAUUAUUGGGCGUAAAGAGCUCGUAGGCGGUCUGUCGCGUCUGCUGUGAAAUCCCGAGGCUCAACCUCGGGCCUGCAGUGGGUACGGGCAGACUAGAGUGCGGUAGGGGAGAAUGGAACUCCUGGUGUAGCGGUGGAAUGCGCAGAUAUCAGGAAGAACACCGAUGGCGAAGGCAGUUCUCUGGGCCGUAACUGACGCUGAGGAGCGAAAGCGUGGGGAGCGAACAGGAUUAGAUACCCUGGUAGUCCACGCCGUAAACGUUGGGCGCUAGAUGUGGGGACCAUUCCACGGUUUCCGUGUCGCAGCUAACGCAUUAAGCGCCCCGCCUGGGGAGUACGGCCGCAAGGCUAAAACUCAAAAUGAAUUGACGGGGUC